GACGAACGCCGGCGGCGUGCUUAACACAUGCAAGUCGAACGCUGAAACCAGAUGCUUGCAUUUGGUGGAUGAGUGGCGAACGGGUGCGUAACACGUGGGUGAUCUGCCCUACACUUUGGGAUAAGCCUGGGAAACUGGGUCUAAUACCGAAUAUUCACAUCAUCGUAGGGGUGGUGUGGAAAGCCUUGUGCGGUGUGGGAUGAGCCUGCGGCCUAUCAGCUUGUUGGUGGGGUAAUGGCCUACCAAGGCGUCGACGGGUAGCCGGCCUGAGAGGGUGUACGGCCACAUUGGGACUGAGACACGGCCCAGACUCCUACGGGAGGCAGCAGUGGGGAAUAUUGCACAAUGGGCGCAAGCCUGAUGCAGCGACGCCGCGUGGGGGAUGACGGCCUUCGGGUUGUAAACUCCUUUCGCUAGGGACGAAGCCUAUGGUGACGGUACCUGGAGAAGAAGCACCGGCUAACUACGUGCCAGCAGCCGCGGUAAGAC
rnacentral:rRNA from 1 species